rnacentral:rRNA from 1 species
AACGAACGCUGGCGGCAGGCCUAACACAUGCAAGUCGAGCGAAGCCUUCGGGCUUAGCGGCGGACGGGUGAGUAACGCGUGGGAACGUGCCCUUUGGUACGGAAUAGCCCCGGGAAACUGGGAGUAAUACCGUAUGUGGUCGAGAGACGAAAGAUUUAUCGCCAAAGGAUCGGCCCGCGUUGGAUUAGGUAGUUGGUGGGGUAAUGGCCUACCAAGCCGACGAUCCAUAGCUGGUUUGAGAGGAUGAUCAGCCACACUGGGACUGAGACACGGCCCAGACUCCUACGGGAGGCAACAGUGGGGAAUCUUAGGCAAUGGGGGAAACCCUGAUCUAGCCAUGCCGCGUGAUCGAUGAAGGCCUUAGGGUUGUAAAGAUCUUUCAGUGGGGAAGAUAAUGACUGUACCCACAGAAGAAGCCCCGGCUAACUCCGUGCCAGCAGCCGCCGUAACAC